AUUGAACGCUGGCGGCAGGCCUAACACAUGCAAGUCGAGCGAGCGGCGGACGGGUGAGUAAUGUAUGGGGACUGCCCGAUAGAGGGGGAUAACUACUGGAAACGGUAGCUAAUACCGCAUACUAUCGGAUAACCCAUAUGGGAUUAGCUGGUAGGUGAGGUAAUGGCUCACAUAGGCGACGAUCCCUAGCUGGUCUGAGAGGAUGAUCAGCCACACUGGAACUGAGACACGGCCCAGACUCCUACGGAGGCAGCAGUGGGGAAUAUUGCACAAUGGGCGAAAGCCUGAUGCAGCAACGCCGCGUGUGUGAAGAAGGCCCUAGGGUUGUAAAGUACUGUCAGUAGGGAGGCGGUACCGAAACAGAAAGCACCGGCUAACUCCGUGCCAGCAGCCGCGGUAAUAC
rnacentral:rRNA from 1 species